rnacentral:tRNA from 1 species
GACCCGGUAGCUCAGUCGGUAGAGCACCGCCCUUUUAAGGCGGGGGUCCUGGGUUCGAUCCCCAGCCGGGUCA